CAGACACAGCAGCUUGUUGUCUCUGUAUUUUUGAGCUUGUCGCAUUUUCUUGAAGCAACCAACCAUCCCAGAUAUGGGUAGUACCACCGCUAUUGACAAGACUGAGGAAGAGCUCCAGCAAGAAAUCGAUGAACUCCUCCACCAACAGCGCCAGAUUACGGAGCGGCUACGCGAUCCUCGGGGGCUCCGAAGGGGAGGGUUGUCUGGCG
rnacentral:misc_RNA from 1 species